rnacentral:rRNA from 1 species
AUUGAACGCUGGCGGCAGGCUUAACACAUGCAAGUCGAACGAGCGGCGGACGGGUGAGUAAUGCCUGGGAAACUGCCUUAUGGAGGGGGAUAACUACUGGAAACUGUAGCUAAUACCGCGUACCAUCGGAUGUGCCCAAGUGGGAUUAGCUAGUUGGUGAGGUAAAGGCUCACCAAGCCGACGAUCCCUAGCUGGUCUGAGAGGAUGACCCGCCAACCUGGGACUGGGAAACGGCCCCGACUCCUACGGGAGGCAGCAGUGGGGAAAAUUGGGCAAUGGGGGGAAACCUGACGCAGCCAAGCCGGGGGGAUGAAGAAGGCCUUCGGGUUGUAAAAGUCUUUCGGGAGCGAGGCGUUAACUACAGAAGAAGGAACGGCUAACUCCCUGGCAGCAGCCGCGGGAAUUC